GCUGGCGUAGCUCAACGGUAGAGCACCUGCCUUCCAAGCAGGAUGUUGCGAGUUCGAACCUCGUCGCCCGCUCCA
rnacentral:tRNA from 1 species